rnacentral:lncRNA from 1 species
GGCCGCGUGAGGCCACACGUGACGGGGUGCGGGACGUGCCCGCGGCGCCGCGGGGCUCGCGGUGGCGCGCUGCAACGCGCGGGAACGGCUUUCACGAGGCCCGCGUUCCUGUGCGCUUGGCUGCAGCUCAUCGCGGUCCUGCCUUCCGCUGCUGGGGCGGCCGCGGAGGGCAUGAGCCAGCACAAGCCAAGCUCGCCGGGCAGAGAUGUGCCCCGGGAGCUGAACCUGCUGCAGAGCCAUGCGGGAGCCGGGGCAAGACACCGUAUCACAGUGAUGUCAGGCAUAUACUUCAGAAGUGCAGGUGGAAAGAACUGGUCGGAAGGAACGAAGGUGGUGGUGUGGCCAAGUUGUGCCUAGAGGAACCCCCACGGUUAGUCUGUGUCAGCAUAUUCGGAAUGCCCAAUACUGGCUGUUCUUUGAACCGGUUAUUUCUAUGUGGGAUCUUGUU